rnacentral:rRNA from 1 species
CGGAUAGACUUGUGGGUAGGAGUGAAAGGCUAAUCAAGCUCGGAGAUAGCUGGUUCUCCUCGAAAGCUAUUUAGGUAGCGCCUCGUGUAUAGUUCCUGGGGGUAGAGCACUGUUUCGGCUAGGGGUCUGUCAAGGACUACCAACCCGAUGCAAACUCCGAAUACCGGGAAAUUUGAGCACGGGAGACAGACGGCGGGUGCUAACGUCCGUCGUCAAAAGGGAAACAACCCAGACCGCCAGCUAAGGUCCCAAAAUUCUGGUUAAGUGGUAAACGAUGUGGGAAGGCAUAGACAGCUAGGAGGUUGGCUUAGAAGCAGCCAUCCUUUAAAGAAAGCGUAAUAGCUCACUAGUCGAGUCGGCCUGCGCGGAAGAUAUGGCGGGGCUAAAACCAGAUACCGAAGCUGCGGAUUCACCGUAAGGUGAGUGGUAGAGGAGCGUUCUGUAAGUCUGUGAAGGUGGAUUGAGAAGUCUGCUGGAGAUAUCAGAAGUGCGAAUGCUGACAUGAGUAACGAUCAAAC